rnacentral:rRNA from 1 species
AGCGAACGCUGGCGGCAGGCCUAACACAUGCAAGUCGAACGAACUCUUCGGAGUUAGUGGCGGACGGGUGAGUAACACGUGGGAACGUGCCUUUUGGUUCGGAAUAACUCAGGGAAACUUGUGCUAAUACCGAAUGUGCCCUUCGGGGGAAAGAUUUAUCGCCAUUAGAGCGGCCCGCGUCUGAUUAGCUAGUUGGUGAGGUAACGGCUCACCAAGGCGACGAUCAGUAGCUGGUCUGAGAGGAUGACCAGCCACACUGGGACUGAGACACGACCCAGACUCCUACGGGAGGCAGCAGUGGGGUAUCUUGCGCAAUGGGCGAAAGCCUGACGCUGCCAUGCCGCGGGAAUGAUGAAGGUCUUAGGAUAGUAAAAUUCUUUCAGCGGGGACGAUAAUGACGGUUCCCGGAGAAGAAGCCCCGGCUAACUUCGUG